UUUAAUUGUUGAUGAAUCCGGC
rnacentral:miRNA from 1 species